rnacentral:rRNA from 1 species
GACGAACGCUGGCGGCGUGCUUAACACAUGCAAGUCGAACGCUGAGGCUCAGCUUUUGUUGGGUGGAUGAGUGGCGAACGGGUGAGUAACACGUGAGUAACCUGCCUCCUUCUUUGGGAUAACGCCCGGAAACGGGUGCUAAUACUGGAUAUUCACUGGUCUUCGCAUGGGGGUUGGUGGAAAGGGUUUUUCUGGUGGGGGAUGGGCUCGCGGCCUAUCAGCUUGUUGGUGGGGUGAUGGCCUACCAAGGCUUUGACGGGUAGCCGGCCUGAGAGGGUGACCGGUCACAUAGGGACGGAGAUAAGGCCCAGACUCGUACGGGAGGCAGAAGUGGGGAAUAUUGCACAAUGGGCGCAAGCCUGAUGCCGCGACGCUGAGUGAGGGAUGGAGGCCUUCGGGUUGUGAAACUCUUUCGCUCAUGGUCAAGCCGCAACAAUGGUUGUGGUGAGGGUAGUGGGUAAAGAAGCGCCGGCUAACUACGUG